rfam:Curtobacterium flaccumfaciens TCD-AKT genomic scaffold scaffold1.13, whole genome shotgun sequence.
GCUCGAGACACGGGGUGCCGCAUCCAGCGGCUGAGAUCACACCCGUCGAACCUGCUCGAGCUCGUACUCGCGAAGGGAUCGUCCAUGGAAACCGUU